rnacentral:rRNA from 1 species
UUUAAGGUCUAAUCUGCCCUAUGAGGAGUUAAAUGGCCGCGGUAUUUUGACCGUGCAAAGGUAGCAUAAUAAUUAGUUUUUUAAUUGAAAGCUGGAAUGAAUGAUUGGACGAGAAAAUAACUGUCUCAAUUUAAUUUUUAUUAGAAUUUUAUUUUUAAGUAAGAAAGCUUAAAUUUUAUUAAAAGACGAGAAGACCCUAUAGAGUUUUAUAUUUUAUUAAUUAUUAGUUUUUUAGAAUUAUUUUAUUAAUAUUAAAUAGAAUAUUUUAUUGGGGUGAUAGAAAAAUAUUAUUAACUUUUUUUUAUAAUUAAUUCAUUAAUUUAUGAAUCAAUGAUCCAUUUUUUAUGAUUAAAAGAAUAAGUUACCUUAGGGAUAACAGCGUUAUUUUUUUUUAGAGUUCUUAUCGAUAAAAAAGAUUGCGACCUCGAUGUUGGAUUAAAAUAAAAAUUUGGUGUAGAAGCUAGAUGAUUAGGUCUGUUCGACCUUUAAAAUUUUACA